ACUCAAGUAAAAGCCUAAGAGAAGUGUGAUGUUUGCCCACUUCCCUGACCACUAGAGUAGCCAGCCUGCAGUGCACAUUCCUUGGAAGAAGUCCAUGAGGAAUCAACGUUGAAUCUAGUUACUAAGAUGCACUUCCCCCAUCCCCGUACUCACACCCUUUUUUCUUGCAGGAUUUUGUCUGUAUAGAUUCACUGGACAAAGUAACGGACUUAAUAAAGACAGGCUCCUAGACACCGUGGACUGUGGUCAGCAUCACUUCCUAUUUUCUCUCCUAUCCCCUUCCCCAUUGCUAUUCCCUUUCCUCUUUCUAAAUAGCCUCCUUUCUGUGUUCACGUAUUUAAAAAUUCUGUAUAUUAUAUAUGAGGAAUAAUACGCCACAUUUGCCUUUCUCAGGCUGGCUUAGUUCACUUAACAUGAUGAAUUUCAGUUUCGUUCCUGGAUGACUGAAACGCCACUGUUAUGUAUAAUACCACGCCUCCUUUACUUCUCCAGCCAUUGCUGGCCACCUUGGUUUGCGUCAAGUAUUGGCUACUGUAACCAGCACACGUACCUCUCAAACCAUAUAUACAACUUGAACGCACGUUGCCUUUAUGUUGGUUUGGUUUCUUUUUGUAGAUACAGAGACUUUCAGUUCCUGGUUCCCAUAUGGGAAAGCUCUGCUUCUACCUGGGGGAAAACAUGUGGGAAUGUCUUUGAUGGUCACUAUGACGAGGAAGCACUAGUUGUAUUUAAUGGACUAAGGCCAGGACAAGGCCAUCGUGCACUGGGAAGAAUGCCCUUGUCUCAAGACAUGCCAUUAGCAUUACCGUGGAGGGGCUCAGCACUUAGAUGAAAGUGUCUUGUUCUUUGCUGUCUGUACUUUGUUGACGAACUAUGAGUUUCAUAGCUAUAUUGGCAACUUGGGCAUUACUAAUAUAACUCUCUUUUUCAGGCCUUCAAUAUAUCUUCCAAAAUGCUACAAAACCAAGCAGUGAUGGGUGUAUCAGUGCACUGAUUAUAUAAUCCUAACAGGCUCUCCUCUCUACUAUACUUUUUUUUUUUUAAGAUUUAUUUAUUUAUUAUAUGUAAGUACACUGUAGCUGUCUUCAGACACACCAGAAGAGGGUGUCAGAUCUUGUUACGGAUGGUUGUGAGCCACCAUGUGGUUGCUGGGACUUGAACACUGGACCUUUGGAAGAGCAGUCGGGUACUCUUACCCACUGAGCCAUCUCACCAGCCCUCUACUAUACUUUUAAAGCAUGGCUCCGGGCUCCUUAGAAAACAAGGUGCUUGAUUUUAUCUAUGUGUUCUGCAGUGCAAGUUGGGGGUUAGCACAACCUGUGGCACUAUUGAAAGCAUUAGGAAGGUUGAAAGCCACUGCGGUGUGUUGCCUGGUGGUUCAUCCACAACAAAUAAACACAGUUUAACUUGGAUAAAAGUUUCCGAGGAUAAUAUAAUUUCCGGUGCAUAAGGAAGCAUGACUACAUUGAAACUUAACUUAGGGUGCAUGUCAUUUAUUCCAAGAGGAUGGGUUCUAGAGAUAGGCCGCCUAUACCAGCUUAAAGGCCUAAGGAAGGGUCUAGCCCAGUCUCCGCCAUGCAGACAGCGUAGAAGUCAUCUGGGCUAUUACCUACCUCUGGUCUUGGUUAUGGGAGCUUUCGGGGAACCUCUGGCUAUACAGAUAAUGUAGGGUCAUUUAAAUAUUAGGUAUCUCCAGUCCUGGUUGUAGGCACUUCGUACGGCCUGGCCCUGAGAUAUCCGAGAUCACCAGGCUCUUAAACUCUUUCAAUUCCCAGCUUUCUUGCGUCUUUCCUAUUGGAAAGACAAUCCUUUGUGCUCAACGUUCCUUGUUCUAACAUUCGGGAGAUCUGCGGGUGCAAGGACCUUCAAAGCUGUGCUCACUAUAUCUCGUGUAGACUAAGGAAGUGUUUUAUCAUUGAGCCACAUCUCAGCCCAGUAGAAGACCUUUUCAGUAAUUCUAGAGAAAGAAAAAAAGUAAAACUUAGGAUGAGGGAGCCAGUAUGGUCUGCGUUUAACUGUGCCUUGGAGUUUUGAAACCCGUUCACUGUUGGUGGUCUCACAGAGCAGUUCAGACAGGGCAGAAGUCCGGGACAGGGCUAAGAAAGGGCUUCUCUUUCUCUCUCUCUCUCUCUCUCUCUCUCUCUCUCUGGUUUAAUGUACAUUUUCAAGGCCCUGGUUUGAAUGUGUCUGAGAUAAUUGGUGCCCCUAGGAGGCACUCUGCUAAGCAGCUAAUUCUGCCCCUCUUCCCCAGGGAGGAUAAUUGUUGUUAAAAAACAACAAAAAAAGUAAAAUGUGUUGUUUUCUCAUGUAAUUAUGUAACUGACAUCUUUAUAUAAUAAUACAUUUGGGUGGUCUGUCCCUGAAAUCCUUGGUUUGUUAGGAAACAUUACCGUUUCCACCAGUAAUAACUUACUCCUAAAUAUUAUGAAAGAAUUUCAUAUUGUUACAUUGCAUCAUUACAGUAAUCAGAAGCUAAACUCUCUAAACGACUUUGCCACUGGAAAAAGGCUUCUAGGGUUUUUUGUUUUGUUUCUUUGUUUGUUUGUUUAUUUUGCUUUUUUUUUUUUUUCCUCAAAUGAGCUAAAAUGUUCAUGAGAUGGAAUGCUCUAUCUCAGCAUGUCUGGAAAUAACAGAAUACAAGUCCGUCGAAUGUGGGGCCUCAAAGCCACUGCAGUCACUACAUAGGACGUCCUUCUCACUACAGUCCCUCUCCAUUGGUUCAUUUCGCCCCAUUGCACUGAGUUAGGACCUGGGGUCUUCCCUGCUGCAGCAAACCACAAAUAUCUUAACAAUGAGCACACCGCCAUUCGAGUUGAGUUCAUUUUAAUCCACAUUGGUAAUGCAGUUCUGGGCCUUGCUGAUUAAAAAAUGACCCACUUAACGCAACUGAAUGGAGCAUCCCCCCACCCCACCCCCCGCCCCUGUAAUUCUUUUGGGACUGCAGAUUGCCAUGGUCCUAAGGAGAUAAGCAUCACUAAUCCCAGACUCAGCCAGGACUUGACUCUAACGAAUCAGGAUGGCUGAUUAUUCCACCGGAGGCAUGCUGCUAAAUUGCUGUUACCUCAAAUUUGUGUGGGAGGCCUUUGCAAAGUAGCAGAGAGGAGAGUAAGUCUGCAGAUAAAAACUGGGAGAAAGAGGAGAGCCCUGGGGGACAAGAAAUGGGAAAUGAAGAGAAUGUAUAGGAAGUAUUAAAAGGCAGGGUCAUAGUUGACCAGAGUUGGUUUU
rnacentral:lncRNA from 1 species